rnacentral:rRNA from 1 species
AUUGAACGCUGGCGGCAGGCCUAACACAUGCAAGUCGAGCGGAUGAAGGGAGCUUGCUCCUGGAUUCAGCGGCGGACGGGUGAGUAAUGCCUAGGAAUCUGCCUGGUAGUGGGGGAUAACGUCCGGAAACGGGCGCUAAUACCGCAUACGUCCUGAGGGAGAAAGUGGGGGAUCUUCGGACCUCACGCUAUCAGAUGAGCCUAGGUCGGAUUAGCUAGUUGGUGGGGUAAAGGCCUACCAAGGCGAGGAUCCGUAACUGGUCUGAGAGGAUGGUCAGUCACACUAGAACUGGAACACGGUCAAGGCUCCUACGGGAGGCAGCAGUGGGGAAUAUUGGGCAGUGGGCGAGAGCCUGAUCCAGCCAUGCCGCGUGUGUGAAGAAGGUCUUCGGAGUGUAAAGCACUUUAAGUUGGGGGGAAGGGCAGUAAGUUAAUACGUUGCUGUUUUGACGGUACCAACAGAAUAAGCACCGGCUAACUACGUG